rnacentral:rRNA from 1 species
UAGGGUGCAAGCGUUGUCCGGAAUUAUGGGGCGUAAAGAGCUCGUAGGCGGUUUGUCGCGUCUGCUGUGAAAACCUAAGGCUCAACCUUGGGCUUGCAGUGGGUACGGGCAGACUAGAGUGCGGUAGGGGUAACUGGAAUUCCUGGUGUAGCGGUGGAAUGCGCAGAUAUCAGGAGGAACACCGAUGGCGAAGGCAGGUCACUGGGCCGCAACUGACGCUGAGGAGCGAAAGCAUGGGGAGCGAACAGG